rnacentral:rRNA from 1 species
AUUGAACGCUGGCGGCAGGCCUAACACAUGCAAGUCGAACGGUAACAGGAAGAAGCUUGCUUCUUUGCUGACGAGUGGCGGACGGGUGAGUAAUGUCUGGGAAACUGCCUGAUGGAGGGGGAUAACUACUGGAAACGGUAGCUAAUACCGCAUAACGUCGCAAGACCAAAGAGGGGGACCUUCGGGCCUCUUGCCAUCGGAUGUGCCCAGAUGGGAUUAGCUAGUAGGUGGGGUAACGGCUCACCUAGGCGACGAUCCCUAGCUGGUCUGAGAGGAUGACCAGCCACACUGGAACUGAGACACGGUCCAGACUCCUACGGGAGGCAGCAGUGGGGAAUAUUGCACAAUGGGCGCAAGCCUGAUGCAGCCGUGCCGCGUGUAUGAAGAAGGCCUUCGGGUUGUAAAGUACUUUCAGCGGGGAGGAAGGGAGUAAAGUUAAUACCUUGGCUCAUUGACGUUACCCGCAGAAGAAGCACCGGUUAACUCCGUG